ensembl:miRNA
UGGCAGCCUAGGACAGAGGAGCCCGAUGGCACACGAGGUCCCACACAGGCUGCUCUGUGCUUGGCUGUCA